UCAUGGGAGCCAGAUCUUCAUAUCUAAUGGUGUUAAUUUCAAUUUGAGGUAAAUUUAAAUUCUUUCUCCACUUUCUUGCUAAAUUCUGAUAUGUUAAAUCUAUUAUAGCAACUCAUAUUUAGUGUAAAUAAUCUGUCAAGAUAUCCCAAAAAUUUUAUCAUUUGAAAUCUUUUCUGGAAUCAAAUUUCGUAUGCAUUGAAAUACGAUUU
rnacentral:lncRNA from 1 species